GCGAAAGUGGCGAAAUUGGCAGACGCACCAGACUUAGGAUCUGGCGGGGAAACCCGUGGGGGUUCAAGUCCCCCCUUUCGCACCA
rnacentral:tRNA from 1 species